UGUUGAAAAACCUGUUUUUCAGGAUGCCAUGAUUAAUUGAUCUGACGGUUGCUCUUAUAAUUUUUAAGCCAACAAUUAUAAAUUUUAGGAAUUGGGUUCAGUAUAAAACAGGAUAUCCAUAGCUUUUGGCUAGCUAGCUCGUAAUAAAAUCAGACAAAAAUGGCUUCUAAAAAGCUAUCAAUGAUUUGGGAGGCGUUGCGGAUAGCUUUGCUUCUGCUUGGCCCUGUGGCAUCAAGGGAAAGGCUUGGAACUUCAGAGACUCGGAUCAUGACUUAUGGGAAGGAGGGACUCUUUGAUAAUAUUCCUUAUCGAAAAGGUAAAGAUCUCGUCUCCAGUACUGAUCUGAAAGGGGCCUAACUGUCCCCAUGGAUAAAUAUUAUUAAUUACAUGAUGAAAUUAACUGUCCCCAUGGAUAAAUAUUAUUAAUUACAUGAUGAAAUUCCAAACCAUGCAGGUAGAUAGUGCAUGAUAUAUGUACAUUAAGUCUGUCAAUGAUACAGACAGUCCGUAUGCGAUCAUCUAGUAUUGAUGACGGUUUUUGAAAAAAUGGUCAUCUAUACUAUUAUAUAUAAACAAAUAUUGGUAAUAGUUUUUUUAAAAACCA